ensembl:snRNA U6 U6 spliceosomal RNA
GGGCUUACUUUGGCUGCACAUGUACUAAAAUUGGAACAAUGCAGAGAUUAGCAUGGCCCCUUUGCAAGGAUGACGCACAGAUUAAUGUAUAGUCCUAAUAGUUU